UGGGGCGUCGCCAAGUGGUAAGGCAGCGGUUUUUGGUACCGCCAUUCGCAGGUUCGAAUCCUGCCGCCCCAG
rnacentral:tRNA from 2 species